GCCUGCAAAUCAAGCCAACUAAAUACACAAAUCGCUAACCAACCAAAUCAAAACAUUUUAUUCGGCCAGUAAAUGAGAUUGAACACCACCUCCAGCCUUGAAAGUACCGCAAGGGAAACCUGAAAGAACAAUGAAACAUAUAAGCACAAAACAGCAAAGAUCAGCCCCCGUACCUCUUGCAUCAUGGUUUAGCAAAAUAUGCCUAGACAAAGAGAAACUACUAAGCCUACCUCCCCGAAACCAAACGAGCUAUUUUUAGGCAGCUAAGACUGAGCACACCCGUCCCUGUAGCAAAAGGGUGGGAAGACCUAAAAAUAGAGGCGAAAAACCUAACGAGCUUGGUGAUAGCUGGUUACUCAACAAAAGAAUUUAAGUUCAACUUUAGGUACCCCAACUAGGCAUACCUACUAUUAAGCCCCCCUCACCUAAAGAAAAUCAAUGGGGGUACAGCCCCAUUGAGCCGGAAUACAGCCCGAACUGAGAAACCCUUUUAGUUUUACUUUAGUAGGCCUCAAAGCAGCCACCAAAAACCGCGUUAUAGCACCCCCAUCCCCACCUAAUGUCAACAACACACUACUCCUCCAGAUCUACCCUGAGUCAUUCUAUAACUAUAUAGAAAUACUAAUGCUAAAACUAGUAAUAAGAAACUACUUUCUCUGCGCACCUCCUUAAAUCAGAAUAGAAAAACUACUGACUUUUAACAAACCAAAAUACUGACUUAUAAAUACUAGCCUAACGUCACCCUAAACUUGUUACCCCGACACAGGAAUGCAAAAAAGAAAGGCGGAAAGCCAUAAAAGGAACUCGGCAAAAAUUGUCCCAACUGUUUACCAAAAACAUAGCCUUUAGCCAAACAAGUAUUAAAGGUUCCGCCUGCCCAGUGACUUUUUAAACGGCCGCGGUAUCCUAACCGUGCAAAGGUAGCAUAAUCACUUGUCCUUUAAAUAAGGACUAGCAUGAAUGGCUAAAUGAGGACUUAACUGUCUCUUACAGCCCGCCAAUGAAACUGAUUUCCCAGUACAAAAGCUGGAAUAAACACACAAGACGAGAAGACCCUGUGGAGCUUCAAAUCAAACCCACCAACCAUGGUUCUAGAUUUUUAGUUGGGGCGACUUCGGAGCAUAAAAAACCCUCCAAACAUGUAUUACUUAAUUUUAUUAAGACCAACACACCAAAACAUAACAAAAGACCCAGCAACAUUCUAAUGUUGUCUGACAAUUGAACCAAGUUACCCCAGGGAUAACAGCGCCAUCCCCUUCUAGAGUCCCUAUCGACAAGGGGGUUUACGACCUCGAUGUUGGAUCAGGACACCCCAAUGGUGCAGACGCCAUUAAAGGUUCGUUUGUUCAACGAUUAAAGUCCUACGUGAUCUGAGUUCAGACCGGAGAAAUCCAGGUCGGUUUCUAUCUAUGAGGUACAAUUCUUAGUACGAAAGGACCAGAAUAAUAGGACCAAUUUUAAAUAAACGUCCUAAUCUGAACCACUGAUAACCACUUAAACGACAAAGAUACCACCAUCUCGUCCAAAAUCAGGACUU
rnacentral:rRNA from 1 species